GCUGUAGCUCAGUGGCAGAGCGCUUGCCUAGCAUACGCAAGGCACUGGGUUUGAUCCUCAGCAUCGCA
rnacentral:tRNA from 1 species